GUAUUAUACAGCGAAACUGCGAAUGGCUCAUUAAAACAGUUAUAGUUUAUUUGAUAAUCGAAUUUACAUGGAUAACCGUGGUAAUUCUAGAGCUAAUACAUGCUGGUGUGCCCGACUUUUGUGGAAGGGCGGUAUUUAUUAGAUAACAAGCCAAUAUUCCUCUGGUCUAUUGUGGUGACUCAUAAUAACUGAUCGAAUCGCAAGGCCUAUGGCCGCGGUAAGUCAUUCAAGUUUCUGCCCCAUCAGCUUUCGAUGGUAGUGUAUUGGACUACCAUGGCGUUUACGGGUAACGGAGGAUUAGGGUUCGAUUCCGGAGAGGGAGCCUGANAAACGGCUACCACAUCUAAGGAAGGCAGCAGGCGCGUAAAUUACCCAAUCCUGACUCAGGGAGGUAGUGACAAGAAAUAACGGACCGGGGCCUUACGGCUUCGGGAUUGCAAUGAGCCGAAUUUACACCCCUUAGCGAAGAUCGAUUGGAGGGCAAGUCUGGUGCCAGCAGCCGCGGUAAUUCCAGCUCCAAUAGCGUAUAUUAAAGUUGUUGCAGUUAAAAAGCUCGU
rnacentral:rRNA from 1 species